rnacentral:tRNA from 1 species
GCGGAAGUAGCUCAGUGGUAGAGCAGCGGCCACGUCGCGUGUCGUUGGUUCAAUCCCAACCUUCCGCUCCA